AAAACUGUCAGUGUUCAAGACUCUCCUUCGCAAUUCACCUAGCUGAGUAACGGAUAUCAGAUAGUCGGGGAACUCGACUAUAGCGUUCUCUCUGGUUGAAAAUCAAUCUGGCCUCCUAUAGCAUUAUUUCAAAUUCUGGCAGCACUCCCUUAACGUUAAACGUGACAUCACAUUAAUCGAUAGUUGCUGCAAUACAUAGUGCAUAAAACUGAUUGCCAUCUUUUUGUAUUGUAAGGCUAAGGACGCAGCAAAAAGUUAUACUAAAAUGCCAAAAGUUCAGUAUAAAUAAAAACCUCGAGACACUUGGCUUCGCGAUCCGUUGUUCAAGGAUUGGAUGUCAAUUUAUCCAAAUGACGCUAAUAAGUGUUAUUGCAGAUAUUGCAAAUCCAGUAUAGUUUCAAAGCUGUACGAUUUGCAGGGACAUGCCAAAACCAAGAAGCAUAAGGCGGCAACGAGUUGCUUUACUCAAAAAAAUAAAAUUGUGUUUACACCAAAUGUGCUUCCUAAAACGAAGCAAAGCAGCAGCCUUAUGUUUGUUUAUUGCAUCCCAUUCUGCUAUUUCACCCAUCGAUCACAUGGGUAUAUUGUGCGCCACAAAAUUUGAUGGCGACAAAGUCAAAGUGGAAAUAGAGAUUCGAUUUAGGUGCACGGAGUUUAUCAUUUCACUUAUAGAUGAGCUUAAACAGAGAUUACCCAAAAACUUCCAAAUUCUUCAGCAAAUCGACAUUUUUUCUGUUGAGAAAAUUGUAAAACUAGAAAGGGCUCUGUUAUUAAUAUUCUAGAGCGUUUCAAACUGCCUGUCUCUAAGAUUGAACAGGUCGUUCUACAAUAUAACAACAUACAUCUGUUAAAAUGGGAAAAUACGGCUUGCACUGUAAAAUUUUCGGCUGAGGAAAACAAUUAUGUGGAUUCGGGAGGAAAUCACCGAUUUAAAGCGUUAGCUUCUUUUGUUUUUAACGUACUAUCGCUGCCGUGGUCAAACGUUUGACCAGUUAGGCAAAUGAACAUUGUAAAAUCGAAGCUAAGAAACUCAAUGAACAUUGACACACUUAAUUCGAUUUUACACAUACAGUAAUUAAUAUUUUUUAACACAAUAUUAACAACUUUGACUUUUUAUUAAACAUUAAUUAAUUUAUAUUCAAAGUUAUGGAUUGCCACGGUCUAACAAAUGUUGUCACAACUUUAAAGUGCCUCAAAAGUACUUAAAUAUUAUUGGAACAAAUAACUCGUACACUGCUUAGGAAAAUAUGGAGUUCUUUGAAAUGGAUAAUUGCCUUUCAAUUUUCAAAUAGCAAUAUAUUAAACAAAAAUUCAUCAAAA